AUUGAACGCUGGCGGCAGGCCUAACACAUGCAAGUCGAACGGUAACAGGAAGAAGCUUGCUUCUUUGCUGACGAGUGGCGGACGGGUGAGUAAUGUCUGGGAAACUGCCUGAUGGAGGGGGAUAACUACUGGAAACGGUAGCUAAUACCGCAUAACGUCGCAAGACCAAAGAGGGGGACCUUCGGGCCUCUUGCCAUCGGAUGUGCCCAGAUGGGAUUAGCUAGUAGGUGGGGUAACGGCUCACCUAGGCGACGAUCCCUAGCUGGUCUGAGAGGAUGAACAGCAACACGGGAACUGAGACACGGUCCAGACUCCUACGGGAGGCAGCAGUGGGGAAUAUUGCACAAUGGGCGCAAGCCUGAUGCAGCCAUGCCGAGUGUAUGAAGAAGGCCUUCGGGUUGUAAAGUACUUUCAGCGGGGAGGAAGGGAGUAAAGUUAAUACCUUUGCUCACUGACGUUACCCGCAGAAGAAGCACCGGAUAACUCCGUG
rnacentral:rRNA from 1 species